rnacentral:rRNA from 1 species
UAUUAUUUAAAAUGUAAAUAUAAAUAUUAAAGUAGUAAUAGUUAUGUUCUUGAAACUUAAAAAAUUUGGCGGUAUUUUAGUCUAUCCAGAGGAACCUGUUUUGUAAUCGAUAAUCCACGAUGGACCUUACUUAAAUUUGUAAUCAGUUUAUAUACCGUCGUUAUCAGAAUAUUUUAUAAGAAUAAUAAUAUUCAAUAAUUUUAAUAAAAAUUUAUAUCAGAUCAAGGUGUAGCUUAUAUUUAAGUAAUAAUGGGUUACAAUAAAAUUAUUUAUACGGAUAAAAUUAUGAAAAAGUUUUUGAAGGUGGAUUUGGUAGUAAAAUUAUAAAGAUAAAUAAUUUGAUUUUAGCUCUAAAAUAUGUACACAUCGCCCGUCGCUCUUAUUAUUAAGGUAAGAUAAGUCGUAACAUAGUAGAUGUACUGGAAAGUGUAUCUAGAAUGA